rnacentral:rRNA from 1 species
UUGGUUAAGUUAGAAAGGGCGCACGGUGGAUGCCUUGGCACUAGGAGCCGAAGAAGGACGGGACUAACACCGAUAUGCUUUGGGGAGCUGUACGUAAGCGUUGAUCCAGAGAUUUCCGAAUGGGGGAACCCACUAUCUUUAGUCGGAUAGUAUCCUUACGUGAAUACAUAGCGUGAGGAAGGCAGACCCAGGGAACUGAAACAUCUAAGUACCUGGAGGAAGAGAAAGAAAAAUCGAUUUCCUGAGUAGCGGCGAGCGAAACGGAAAGAGCCCAAACCAAGAAGCUUGCUUCUUGGGGUUGUAGGACACUCUAUACGGAGUUACAAAAGAAAGUUAUAAAUGAAGCGGUCUGGAAAGGCCCGCCAAAGACGGUAACAGCCCGGUAGUUGAAAUGGCUUUCCCUCCAGAGUGGAUCCUGAGUACGGCGGAACACGUGAAAUUCCGUCGGAAUCCGGGAGGACCAUCUCCCAAGGCUAAAUACUCCCUAGUGACCGAUAGUGAACCAGUACCGUGAGGGAAAGGUGAAAAGCACCCCGGAAGGGGAGUGAAACAGUUCCUGAAACCGUGUGCCUACAAGUAGUUAGAGCCCGUUAAUGGGUGAUAGCGUGCCUUUUGUAGAAUGAACCGGCGAGUUACGAUUUGUUGCAAGGUUAAGCGGAAAAAGCGGAGCCGUAGCGAAAGCGAGUCUGAAUAGGGCGCAUAAGUAACAGGUCGUAGACCCGAAACCAGGUGAUCUACCCAUGUCCAGGAUGAAGGUAAGGUAAUACUUACUGGAGGUCCGAACCCACGCACGUUGAAAAGUGCGGGGAUGAGGUGUGGGUAGCGGAGAAAUUCCAAUCGAACUUGGAGAUAGCUGGUUCUCUCCGAAAUAGCUUUAGGGCUAGCCUCGAGGUAAAGAGUCAUGGAGGUAGAGCACUGUUUGGACUAGGGGCCCUUCUCGGGUUACCGAAUUCAGAUAAACUCCGAAUGCCAUGUACUUAUACUCGGGAGUCAGACUGCGAGUGAUAAGAUCCGU